rnacentral:rRNA from 1 species
GAUGAACGCCGGCGGCGUGCUUAACACAUGCAAGUCGAACGGAAAGGCUCCUGCUUGCAGGGGUACUCGAGUGGCGAACGGGUGAGUAACACGUGGGUGAUCUGCCCUGCACUUCGGGAUAAGCCUGGGAAACUGGGUCUAAUACCGGAUAGGACGAUGGUUUGGAUGCCAUUGUGGAAAGUUUUUUCGGUGUGGGAUGAGCUCGCGGCCUAUCAGCUUGUUGGUGGGGUAAUGGCCUACCAAGGCGUCGACGGGUAGCCGGCCUGAGAGGGUGUACGGCCACAUUGGGACUGAGAUACGGCCCAGACUCCUACGGGAGGCAGCAGUGGGGAAUAUUGCACAAUGGGCGCAAGCCUGAUGCAGCGACGCCGCGUGGGGGAUGACGGCCUUCGGGUUGUAAACUCCUUUCGCUAGGGACGAAGCGCAAGUGACGGUACCUGGAGAAGAAGCACCGGCUAACUACGUG